rnacentral:rRNA from 1 species
UACAGAGGUCCCGAGCGUUGUUCGGAUUCACUGGGCGUAAAGGGUGCGUAGGUGGCUGGAAAAGUUUGAUGUGAAAGCUCAGGGCUUAACCCUGAAAUGGCAUUGAAUACUGUCGAGCUGGAGGUUUGGAGGGGGGACUGGAAUUCUUGGUGUAGCAGUGAAAUGCGUAGAUAUCAAGAGGAACACCAGUGGCGAAGGCGAGUCCCUGGACAACACCUGACACUGAGGCACGAAAGCUAGGGGAGCAAACGGG